rnacentral:rRNA from 1 species
UACGUAGGGGGCAAGCGUUGUCCGGAAUUAUUGGGCGUAAAGCGCGCGCAGGCGGUUCUUUUAAGUCUGGUGUUUAAACCCGAGGCUCAACUUCGGGUCGCACUGGAAACUGGGGGACUUGAGUGCAGAAGAGGAGAGUGGAAUUCCACGUGUAGCGGUGAAAUGCGUAGAUAUGUGGAGGAACACCAGUGGCGAAGGCGACUCUCUGGGCUGUAACUGACGCUGAGGCGCGAAAGCGUGGGGAGCAAACAGG